rnacentral:rRNA from 2 species
ACCCGCUGAACUUAAGCAUAUCAAUAAGCGGAGGAAAAGAAACCAACAGGGAUUGCCCCAGUAACGGCGAGUGAAGCGGCAACAGCUCAAAUUUGAAAUCUGGCUCUCGGGCCCGAGUUGUAAUUUGUAGAGGAUGCUUUUGGUGAGGUGCCUUCCGAGUUCCCUGGAACGGGACGCCAUAGAGGGUGAGAGCCCCGUCUGGUCGGACACCGAUCCUCUGUAAAGCUCCUUCGACGAGUCGAGUAGUUUGGGAAUGCUGCUCUAAAUGGGAGGUAUAUGUCUUCUAAAGCUAAAUACCGGCCAGAGACCGAUAGCGCACAAGUAGAGUGAUCGAAAGAUGAAAAGAACUUUGAAAAGAGAGUUAAAAAGUACGUGAAAUUGUUGAAAGGGAAGCGCUUGUGACCAGACUUGGGCUUGGUUGAUCAUCCAGGGUUCUCCCUGGUGCACUCUUCCGGCCCAGGCCAGCAUCAGUUCGCCCCGGG